rnacentral:rRNA from 1 species
CGAGCACGCGCGUGUGGCAUAUCAAUAAGCGGAGGAAAAGAAACUAACAAGGAUUCCCUUAGUAACGGCGAGUGAAGCGGGAAGAGCUCGAAUUUGAAAUCUUCAAGGUUCUACCUUGACGAAUUGUAGUUUAUAGAAGUGUUUUCUGUUAGUAGAGUGGCAAAAGUUCUUUGGAAUAGGACAUCAUAGAGGGUGAGAAUCCCUGUAUUUGGUCAUUCCUCCUAGCGUUGUGAUACACUUUCAACGAGUCGGAUUGUUUGGGAAUGCAGUCCAAAAUGGGUGGUAAAUUUCAUCUAAAGCUAAAUAUUGGCGAGAGACCGAUAGCGAACAAGUACCGUGAGGGAAAGAUGAAAAGAACUUUGAAAAGAGAGUUAAACAGUACGUGAAAUUGUCAAAAGGGAAGCGUUUGACACCAGUGUUGUUUUUCCGAAAAUCAAUUACGAAUGUUUUGUUUUUGAGGAGUUAUGACUUCAUCGGCUUGCUUCUUUCUUUACGAAACUUUCUUAAUGUACUUUUCGGUUAACAAGUUAACAUCAAUUUCUUUUGUUGUAAAAGGGUAUGAGGAAGGUGGCUUUCUUUUCGGAGAAAGUGUUUAUAGCCUUGUGCCUCUAGCAAUCGGAGAGAUUGAGGUCUGCAGCGUAGAUCCUUCGGGGUUAGAUACGUUUGUGCUAAGUUAUAGCUUUUCAUAGACAACUUGUUGACUAUGUUUAGUCUUGUAGCUUACUCGCUGACGCUAUUUUACCUACGCUUAGGAUGUUGAUGUGAUACUGCGAGC